UACGAACCGUGCGAACGUUGUUCGGAAUCACUGGGCUUAAAGGGCGCGUAGGCGGUCGAUCAAGUCUGGGGUGAAAUCUUUCGGCUUAACCGGAAAAGUGCCUGGGAUACUGAUCGGCUGGAGGGAGGUAGGGGGAGCUGGAACUUCCAGUGGAGCGGUGAAAUGCGUAGAUAUCAGGAGGAACACCUGUGGCGAAAGCGGCUCACUGGACCACAACUGACGCUGAGGCGCGAAAGCUAGGGGAGCAAACAGG
rnacentral:rRNA from 1 species